rnacentral:rRNA from 1 species
UACGAAGGGGGCUAGCGUUGCUCGGAAUCACUGGGCGUAAAGCGCACGUAGGCGGGUCGUUAAGUCGGGGGUGAAAUCCUGGAGCUCAACUCCAGAACUGCCUUCGAUACUGGCGACCUUGAGUCUGGGAGAGGUGAGUGGAACUCCGAGUGUAGAGGUGAAAUUCGUAGAUAUUCGGAAGAACACCAGUGGCGAAGGCGGCUCACUGGACCACAACUGACGCUGAGGCGCGAAAGCUAGGGGAGCAAACAGG